AUUUAAUGUGUGCUUUAUCGGAGUUAAUAAAGAUAUCACAUUACAUUAAUUCCUUUGCACGUAUCUACUUCAGAAGUUUACUACUUAUUACUCGUGAUAAGUUAAAGGAACAAUUCUUAAAUUGCAGGAUAUUUAUCAUGCAUGGAAGCAGAAGUACUGUCCGGAUACGUUUCCUGUCAUUAGCAUUAAUUCAAGUUCAGACAAACUAGGAACAUUGACAUAGGCGUUGUUGAAUUGACCACUGCACUAUCAUUGUACUGAAACUGAUGUUACAGGAUUUGUUAUCAACGAUGGAAUAUCAAAUGCUAUUGUAGAACAGUGAAUAAAGAUAAUUAUCGCUAUUGUAACAUGCGAAAAUAACGAUUAAAUCAUAGGACAUUGACUGAACACUUAAUUUAUUCAUGUUGUAUUAAUUACUUUGCCACUAUCGGGGCAGUGAAAACUCAAGUGAAUCACGAAAUAAAAGGUAAAUAAGAUAAAUAAUGUAAUGUUAUUCGUAUCGAGGCAAUCGAUAAUUUCACACAAUACAGAUCCAUAAAGGAGUAAAAUAAAAAGUUAUUCAAUCGAU